GGGUGAUUAGCUCAGCUGGGAGAGCACCUCCCUUACAAGGAUGGGGUCGGCGGUUCGAUCCCGUCAUCACCCACCA
rnacentral:tRNA from 3 species